rnacentral:rRNA from 1 species
AUUGAACGCUGGCGGCAGGCCUAACACAUGCAAGUCGAACGAGUGGCGGACGGGUGAGUACUGUCUGGGAAACUGCCUGAUGGAGGGGGAUAACUACUGGAAACGGUAGCUAAUACCGCAUACCAUCAGAUGUGCCCAGAUGGGAUUAGCUAGUUGGUGGGGUAACGGCUCACCAAGGCGACGAUCCCUCGCUGGUCUGAGAGGAUGACCAGCCACACUGGAACGGAGACACGGUCCAGACUCCGACGGGAGGCAGCAGAGGGGAAUAGUGCACAAGAGGCGCAAUCCUAGUGCAGCCAUGCCGCGUGUAUGAAGAAGGCCUUCGGGUGGUAAAGUACUUACAGCGGGGAGGCGUUACCCGCAGAAGAAGCACCGGCUAACUCCGUGCCAGCAGCCGCGGUAAUAC